GGGUGUGUCAAUCAAACUGACUGACUCGUAGCAAUCACACAACAAUCACACACCUUAAUUUAGCACCUGGAAGCGUAUAGCACGCAGCUGUUUGACACUGUGAAGGCGCCCAUGUGUGCCGAAAAAAGACGACGCCAUCUUUUGACUGAGACGGAUGGACAGAGAUGCUGAACCACCGUUCUGGAAUUGGUGUAAAAACGGCUUUUCUGUCGCACAUGGCGGUGACUGAUGGGAAACGACACGGUGCACGAAUAACGUUGUGAAGAAGAGGACAAACGUCUCCUAGAAACCAGUCCACGCCCACUCCUUAACUGCUUUGGAUGUCUGUGGAAGUCUGUCGUCCUCUGAUCAGCUGGUGGAGUGAAGACGUUGAAGGUAUUCCCUUCUUGCUGGAGUCCCCCAAGGACGUAACUUUGGUAGGAGACGUAACUUUGUGAAGAUUUAGGGAUCAUGACAAAGUUACAUGACCUGGUUCACCCUGGCAGCCUGCUCAAGGAGGUCCACGACUUGAGACGUCAGAGUUCUAUUCCUCCGGCCAAGAUGUAACUGGAUUUUUCCACGUGCAGUUACAUGAUCCCUUCAUUCCUCCUUUGUGGUUUAACAGAAACAUGGCAGUGGCUGAGGUGGCCAACUGAAGGUUGAUCCUGAGUCAUCUCAUGUGUCAGCUGAGCCUGCACACUGCCAACUACCAUUUGGGUGGCCUAUUUAAGCUGUCAAACUCAUUUGCCGAUCUUACAGCGUCUACACCCCGGCUCUCUCUGCUCGUUGCGACAGCUUCAACAGCCACCUGUUCCACGAGGCUGAAUCCGCUCAUUUCUCUCAGCUGUAAAUAACAGUGGCCGACUCACAGAGUCACAGUUACAUUAGAGUGGAGAAAAACAUAUGCGAGCCAGACAGCCUUGUGGUUACCGCAACAGUGUUGAAGGUCACCUCAUCGUCAAGGAGAGGAGGAUAUCUUCAGUAAUUAGCACUCCUGCAGAGCCUAGCAUCAGGGUGCAACCGAGCCACUCUACACACAUCCCCCGCAGUGGACGCUCACUGACCACAUUUAUUUUUCUCCACCUAAUGAAUCCAACUGUUAACUACGUCCACGAACUGCCCAGAAAAAACAGAUUUUCUGUCCACGACUUGUGUUUUCUGGACGUUAUCUUCAAACCAUAACGGAAUCCCGAAAAGGAAGAGGCAGCAGAAGAUUCAAUGUCAGAGUCAAAUUGUCAUGUAAG